UCUAUCUAUCUAUCUAUCUAUCUAUCUAUCUAUCUAUCUAUCUAUCUAUCCAUCCAUCCAUCCAUCCAUCCAUCCAUCCAUCCAUCCAUCCAUCCAUCCAUCUAUCUAUCUAUCUAUCUAUCUAUCUAUCUAUCUAUCUAUCUACCAGAGGAUUCGUUGGAAUGACUUACAGGCUAUAUUUCAGUAAAUCCAACAAUCUCUGGCUAUGAGCAGAAGGGCUAAGAAUCUAUUAGUAGCUCAGUCCACGAGGCUGGAUGUCUCAGCUGGUCUUUAGUAUACAUUGGAAUCCCAAAGAAGUAUGCUGUCGUGCCAGUGAAGGCAUGAGGGCAAGCAGGCAAUGAGUGAUGUUUCCUCCUUCCACGUCUGUAUAUAGGCUGCCAGCAGAAGGUGUGGCCCAGAUGAAAGGUGGAUCUUCACAUCUCAAAGAUCUAGGUUAGAAGUGGAUCUUCUUACUUCAAAUCAAGCAAGAUUCCCUUACAGAUCCUGUCCUUCGGCUUUUAUGUCCUUCCUGCUCCAUCUUCUGGAACGUUCCCUGAACCUCAGAGGAGAUGAUGUAGAUGCCUCAUUUACAGCCAAGAACUGGGAUAGUUCUUCUCAGAACUUUGUUCGGAAAAGGCUCAGCAUGCUUUACAGCAGAUCCAGUGUGAGCGCCAGACAGCCGAAGUUUACUCGUGUACAGGUGCAAUGCUGUGUACCGUGGGAGUAUGGGGUAUUGGCCUUUACUGAGCAGGGCAACACAACGAGGAAGCCAUUGUUGAUUGAAUCGGAACAGUGUUCUUGGAGGUCCAGAUUUUAAAAGAGUAACAAAAGGCAUGUGUACCAGCUAGGAUGCCUCCAGGAACAAUCAAAAGGAAACUCAUUUCAGAGUGCUCAAAGCUCCAGAAAGUUUAUUGGCUCAUAUAAUCGAAAGUCCAGAACGUUAGCAAUCCCGUGGCGCUGGCAGCUUCACUUCGCUCAUUUCUUGGCUGUAUUCAUCUAAUGGCACCAUUCCUGAAGAGACUAGUUUAGAUUUGAGUGAUUCUCCAUCAAAUUGUUGCUUCUAACCUUCUUAUGAUGAGCCCCCAGGAAACUUUCAGCUGAGUAGUGGAUGACACGACGUCUUUAAGGAGUGCAUUCUCUGGCUCAAUUUUGUCUAUGGAGGUCAAGGAGGUUAGUAAAAAAUGACGCCCUCACAUUUUAUUUAAUAUGUGUUGCUGGAAAAAAGAGACUAGGUCAAAUUAUCUGUGAACGAAAGGCCGCAGAGUGCAUGUACCUGUUGACCUGCUUCGCUGGAGUCAAAUCUGGAAGGAAGGUAAUCAUUACCAAUUUGGCCAUCAGUAGCAGUAGUACUAACCUUGUUAAAUUGAGAUAAUCAUAACUGGUCCGUAUCUAU